rnacentral:rRNA from 1 species
AUGUGCCCACGGGUGAAAGAUUUAUUGCCAAAAGAUGAGCUCGCGUCUGAUUAGCUAGUAGGUGAGGUAAUGGCUCACCUAGGCGACGAUCAGUAACUGGUCUGAGAGGAUGACCAGUCACACUGGGACUGAGACACGGCCCAGACUCCUACGGGAGGCAGCAGUGGGGAAUUUUCCGCAAUGGGCGAAAGCCUGACGGAGCAAUACCGCGUGAGGGAGGAAGGCUUUUGGGUUGUAAACCUCUUUUAUUAGGGAAGAAGAUCUGACGGUACCUAAUGAAUCAGCAUCGGCUAACUUCGUGCCAGCAGCCGCGGUAAUACGAGGGAUGCAAGCGUUAUCCGGAAUUAUUGGGCGUAAAGCGUCCGCAGGUGGUUUUACAAGUCUGCUGUCAAAGCGUGGAGCUUAACUCCAUAACGGCGGUGGAAACUGUAAGACUAGAGGUCAGUAGGGGUCACGGGAAUUCCCAGUGUAGCGGUGAAAUGCGUAGAUAUUGGGAAGAACACCAGCGGCGAAAGCGCGUGACUGGGCUGAU